AUGAACGCUAGCUACAGGCUUAACACAUGCAAGUCGAGGGGCAGCAUGGUCUUAGCUUGCUAAGGCUGAUGGCGACCGGCGCACGGGUGAGUAACACGUAUCCAACCUGCCGUCUACUCUUGGACAGCCUUCUGAAAGGAAGAUUAAUACAAGAUGGCAUCAUGAGUCCGCAUGUUCACAUGAUUAAAGGUAUUCCGGUAGACGAUGGGGAUGCGUUCCAUUAGAUAGUAGGCGGGGUAACGGCCCACCUAGUCUUCGAUGGAUAGGGGUUCUGAGAGGAAGGUCCCCCACAUUGGAACUGAGACACGGUCCAAACUCCUACGGGAGGCAGCAGUGAGGAAUAUUGGUCAAUGGGCGAGAGCCUGAACCAGCCAAGUAGCGUGAAGGAUGACUGCCCUAUGGGUUGUAAACUUCUUUUAUAAAGGAAUAAAGUCGGGUAUGGAUACCCGUUUGCAUGUACUUUAUGAAUAAGGAUCGGCUAACUCCGUGCCAGCAGCCGCGGUAAUACGGAGGAUCCGAGCGUUAUCCGGAUUUAUUGGGUUUAAAGGGAGCGUAGAUGGAUGUUUAAGUCAGUUGUGAAAGUUUGCGGCUCAACCGUAAAAUUGCAGUUGAUACUGGAUAUCUUGAGUGCAGUUGAGGCAGGCGGAAUUCGUGGUGUAGCGGUGAAAUGCUUAGAUAUCACGAAGAACUCCGAUUGCGAAGGCAGCCUGCUAAGCUGCAACUGACAUUGAGGCUCGAAAGUGUGGGUAUCAAACAGGAUUAGAUACCCUGGUAGUCCACACGGUAAACGAUGAAUACUCGCUGUUUGCGAUAUACUGCAAGCGGCCAAGCGAAAGCGUUAAGUAUUCCACCUGGGGAGUACGCCGGCAACGGUGAAACUCAAAGGAAUUGACGGGGGCCCGCACAAGCAGUGGAGUAUGUGGUUUAAUUCGAAGCAACGCGAAGAACCUUACCAAGUCUUGACAUCCCGAUGACAGAGUAUGUAAUGUACUUUCUCUUCGGAGCAUCGGUGACAGGUGGUGCAUGGUUGUCGUCAGCUCGUGCCGUGAGGUGUCGGCUUAAGUGCCAUAACGAGCGCAACCCUUGUUGUCAGUUACUAACAGGUUCCGCUGAGGACUCUGACAAGACUGCCAUCGUAAGAUGUGAGGAAGGUGGGGAUGACGUCAAAUCAGCACGGCCCUUACGUCCGGGGCUACACACGUGUUACAAUGGGGGGUACAGAGGGCCGCUACCACGCGAGUGGAUGCCAAUCCCCAAAACCUCUCUCAGUUCGGACUGGAGUCUGCAACCCGACUCCACGAAGCUGGAUUCGCUAGUAAUCGCGCAUCAGCCACGGCGCGGUGAAUACGUUCCCGGGCCUUGUACACACCGCCCGUCAAGCCAUGGGAGCCGGGGGUACCUGAAGUGCGUAACCGCGAGGAGCGCCCUAGGGUAAAACUGGUGACUGGGGCU
rnacentral:rRNA from 1 species